rnacentral:ncRNA from 2 species
CUCUUAUCAAGAGUUGGCUGAGGGAAUUGGCCCUUUGACGCCCAGCAACCGACCAUUUGUUCAUUAUGUGUAAAAUGAACGCAAAAGUGGCACGGUGCUACUUCCAACAGAAAGAAUAUCCUUUCUGAAAGAUAAGAG